AUUUAAAAAAAAAUUAAAAAUGAAGAAAAAAAAGAAAGAGAUAAAUACUCGUUGGUGAAUCGUACCUUCCCCUAUGAUUGUUUCUUUGUUUUUUAUUAUUUUUCGUCCUUUUCCCAACAUUACGCUAU
rnacentral:ribozyme from 14 species